GCCACCAACAGAGACAUGUUUUUAGCAUU
rnacentral:piRNA from 1 species